GUGCUCGCUUUGGCAGCCCAUAUACUAAAAUUAGAAUGAUACAGAGAAGAUUAGCAUUGCCCCUGCGCAAGGAUGACGAAUAAUGCCAGGAAAUCCCUUGAAUAGAC